GGUACAGGGUGAUAGUCCCGUACACCAAAAUGCACAGGCUGUGAACUCGAAGAGUAGGGCGGGACACGUGGUAUCCUGUCUGAAUAUGGGGGGACCAUCCUCCAAGGCUAAAUACUCCUGACUGACCGAUAGUGAACCAGUACCGUGAGGGAAAGGCGAAAAGAACCCCGGCGAGGGGAGUGAAAAAGAACCUGAAACCGUGUACGUACAAGCAGUGGGAGCACCUUCGGGUGUGACUGCGUACCUUUUGUAUAAUGGGUCAGCGACUUAUAUUCUGUAGCAAGGUUAACCGUAUAGGGGAGCCGCAGGGAAACCGAGUCUUAACUGGGCGUUAAGUUGCAGGGUAUAGACCCGAAACCCGGUGAUCUAGCCAUGGGCAGGUUGAAGGUUGGGUAACACUAACUGGAGGACCGAACCGACUAAUGUUGAAAAAUUAGCGGAUGACUUGUGGCUGGGGGUGAAAGGCCAAUCAAACCGGGAGAUAGCUGGUUCUCCCCGAAAGCUAUUUAGGUAGCGCCUCGUGAACUCAUCUUCGGGGGUAGAGCACUGUUUCGGCUAGGGGGUCAUCCCGACUUACCAACCCGAUGCAAACUACGAAUACCGAAGAAUGUUAUCACGGGAGACACACGGCGGGUGCUAACGUCCGUCGUGAAGAGGGAAACAACCCAGACCGCCAGCUAAGGUCCCAAAGUCAUGGUUAAGUGGGAAACGAUGUGGGAAGGCACAGACAGCCAGGAUGUUGGCUUAGAAGCAGCCAUCAUUUAAAGAAAGCGUAAUAGCUCACUGGUCGAGUCGGCCUGCGCGGAAGAUGUAACGGGGCUAAACCAUGCACCGAAGCUGCGGCAGCGACACUAUGUGUUGUUGGGUAGGGGAGCGUUCUGUAAGCCUGCGAAGGUGUGCUGUGAGGCAUGCUGGAGGUAUCAGAAGUGCGAAUGCUGACAUAAGUAACGAUAAAGCGGGUGAAAAGCCCGCUCGCCGGAAGACCAAGGGUUCCUGUCCAACGUUAAUCGGGGCAGGGUGAGUCGACCCCUAAGGCGAGGCCGAAAGGCGUAGUCGAUGGGAAACAGGUUAAUAUUCCUGUACUUGGUGUUACUGCGAAGGGGGGACGGAGAAGGCUAUGUUAGCCGGGCGACGGUUGUCCCGGUUUAAGCAUGUAGGCUGAUUGUCCAGGCAAAUCCGGAUAAUCAAGGCUGAGGUGUGAUGACGAGGCACUACGGUGCUGAAGUAACAAAUGCCCUGCUUCCAGGAAAAGCCUCUAAGCAUCAGGUAACAUUAAAUCGUACCCCAAACCGACACAGGUGGUCAGGUAGAGAAUACCAAGGCGCUUGAGAGAACUCGGGUGAAGGAACUAGGCAAAAUGGUGCCGUAACUUCGGGAGAAGGCACGCUGGUGUGUAGGUGAAGUCCCUGCGGAUGGAGCUGAGACCAGUCGAAGAUACCAGCUGGCUGCAACUGUUUAUUAAAAACACAGCACUGUGCAAACACGAAAGUGGACGUAUACGGUGUGACGCCUGCCCGGUGCCGGAAGGUUAAUUGAUGGGGUUAUCCGUAAGGAGAAGCUCUUGAUCGAAGCCCCGGUAAACGGCGGCCGUAACUAUAACGGUCCUAAGGUAGCGAAAUUCCUUGUCGGGUAAGUUCCGACCUGCACGAAUGGCGUAAUGAUGGCCAGGCUGUCUCCACCCGAGACUCAGUGAAAUUGAACUCGCUGUGAAGAUGCAGUGUACCCGCGGCAAGACGGAAAGACCCCGUGAACCUUUACUAUAGCUUGACACUGAACAUUGAGCCUUGAUGUGUAGGAUAGGUGGGAGGCUUUGAAGCGUGGACGCCAGUCUGCGUGGAGCCAACCUUGAAAUACCACCCUUUAAUGUUUGAUGUUCUAACGUUGGCCCCUGACCGGGGUUGCGGACAGUGUCUGGUGGGUAGUUUGACUGGGGCGGUCUCCUCCCAAAGCGUAACGGAGGAGCACGAAGGUUAGCUAAUCCUGGUCGGACAUCAGGAGGUUAGUGCAAUGGCAUAAGCUAGCUUGACUGCGAGCGUGACGGCGCGAGCAGGUGCGAAAGCAGGUCAUAGUGAUCCGGUGGUUCUGAAUGGAAGGGCCAUCGCUCAACGGAUAAAAGGUACUCCGGGGAUAACAGGCUGAUACCGCCCAAGAGUUCAUAUCGACGGCGGUGUUUGGCACCUCGAUGUCGGCUCAUCACAUCCUGGGGCUGAAGUAGGUCCCAAGGGUAUGGCUGUUCGCCAUUUAAAGUGGUACGCGAGCUGGGUUUAGAACGUCGUGAGACAGUUCGGUCCCUAUCUGCCGUGGGCGCUGGAGAAUUGAGGGGGGCUGCUCCUAGUACGAGAGGACCGGAGUGGACGCAUCACUGGUGUUCGGGUUGUCAUGCCAAUGGCACUGCCCGGUAGCUAAAUGCGGAAGAGAUAAGUGCUGAAAGCAUCUAAGCACGAAACUUGCCCCGAGAUGAGUUCUCCCUGAGACUUUAAGUCUCCUGAAGGAACGUUAAAGACGAUGACGUUGAUAGGCCGGGUGUGUAAGCGCAGCGAUGCGUUGAGCUAACCGGUACUAAUGAACCGUGAGGCUUAACCUU
rnacentral:rRNA from 1 species